rnacentral:rRNA from 1 species
GACGAACGCUGGCGGCGUGCUUAACACAUGCAAGUCGAACGGAGAGGCCCUGCUUUUGUGGGGUGCUCGAGUGGCGAACGGGUGAGUAACACGUGAGUAACCUGCCCUUGACUUUGGGAUAACUUCAGGAAACUGGGGCUAAUACCGGAUAGGAGCUCCUGCUGCAUGGUGGGGGUUGGAAAGUUUCGGCGGUUGGGGAUGGACUCGCGGCUUAUCAGCUUGUUGGUGGGGUAGUGGCUUACCAAGGCUUUGACGGGUAGCCGGCCUGAGAGGGUGACCGGCCACAUUGGGACUGGGAUACGGCCCAGACUCCUACGGGAGGCAGCAGUGGGGAAUAUUGCACAAUGGGCGGAAGCCUGAUGCAGCAACGCCGCGUGCGGGAUGACGGCCUUCGGGUUGUAAACCGCUUUCGCCUGUGACGAAGCGUGAGUGACGGUAAUGGGUAAAGAAGCACCGGCUAACUACGUG